rnacentral:rRNA from 1 species
AGGACGAACGCUGGCGGCGUGCUUAACACAUGCAAGUCGAGCGACGCUCCUCCUUCGGGAGGAUGACGGAGCGGCGAACGGGUGAGUAACACGUGGGCAACCUGCCCCUAGCUCUGGGAUAACCCCGGGAAAUCGGGACUAAUACCGGAUAUGACCUCGGAAGGCAUCUUCUGAGGUGGAAAAGGUUUACUGGCUAGGGAUGGGUCCGCGGCCUAUCAGCUUGUUGGUGGGGUAACGGCCCACCAAGGCGACGACGGGUAGCCGGCCUGAGAGGGCGACCGGCCACACUGGGACUGAGACACGGCCCAGACUCCUACGGGAGGCAGCAGUGGGGAAUAUUGCACAAUGGGCGAAAGCCUGAUGCAGCGACGCCGCGUGAGGGAUGAAUGCCUUCGGGUUGUAAACCUCUUUCAGCAGGGACGAAGCGCAAGUGACGGUACCUGCAGAAGAAGCACCGGCCAACUACGUGCCAGCAGCCGCGGUAA